AGAGUUUGAUCUUGGCUCAGAUUGAACGCUGGCGGCAGGCUUAACACAUGCAAGUCGAACGGUAACAGGAAGAAAGCUUGCUUUCUUUGCUGACGAGUGGCGGACGGGUAAGUAAUGCUUGGGAAUCUGGCUUAUGGAGGGGGAUAACUACGGGAAACUGUAGCUAAUACCGCGUAGUAUCGGAAGAUGAAAGUGUGGGACCGCAAGGCCACAUGCCAUAAGAUGAGCCCAAGUGGGAUUAGGUAGUUGGUUAGGUAAAGGCUGACCAAGCCGACGAUCUCUAGCUGGUCUGAGAGGAUGACCAGCCACACUGGAACUGAGACACGGUCCAGACUCCUACGGGAGGCAGCAGUGGGGAAUAUUGCACAAUGGGGGGAACCCUGAUGCAGCCAUGCCGCGUGAAUGAAGAAGGCCUUCGGGUUGUAAAGUUCUUUCGGUGAUGAGGAAGGUGUUUGUUUUAAUAGAACAAACAAUUGACGUUAGUCACAGAAGAAGCACCGGCUAACUCCGUGCCAGCAGCCGCGGUAAUACGGAGGGUGCGAGCGUUAAUCGGAAUAACUGGGCGUAAAGGGCACGCAGGCGGUGACUUAAGUGAGAUGUGAAAGCCCCGAGCUUAACUUGGGAAUUGCAUUUCAUACUGGGUCGCUAGAGUACUUUAGGGAGGGGUAGAAUUCCACGCGUAGCGGUGAAAUGCGUAGAGAUGUGGAGGAAUACCGAAGGCGAAGGCAGCCCCUUGGGAAUGUACCGACGCUCAUGUGCGAAAGCGUGGGGAGCAAACAGGAUUAGAUACCCUGGUAGUCCACGCUGUAAACGCUGUCGAUUUGGGGAUUGGGCUUUGAGCUUGGUGCCCGUAGCU
rnacentral:rRNA from 1 species